GCCCCGGUAAACGGCGGCCGUAACUAUAACGGUCCUAAGGUAGCGAAAUUCCUUGUCGGGUAAGUUCCGACCUGCACGAAUGGCGUAAUGAUGGCCAGGCUGUCUCCACCCGAGACUCAGUGAAAUUGAACUCGCUGUGAAGAUGCAGUGUACCCGCGGCAAGACGGAAAGACCCCGUGAACCUUUACUAUAGCUUGACACUGAACACUGGUCCUUGAUGUGUAGGAUAGGUGGGAGGCUUUGAAGCGUGGACGCCAGUCUGCGUGGAGCCGACCUUGAAAUACCACCCUUUAAUGGCUGGUGUUCUAACGUAGACCCGUAAUCCGGGUUGCGGACAGUGUCUGGUGGGUAGUUUGACUGGGGCGGUCUCCUCCCAAAGAGUAACGGAGGAGCACGAAGGUUAGCUAAUCCUGGUCGGACAUCAGGAGGUUAGUGCAAUGGCAUAAGCUAGCUUGACUGCGAGAGUGACGGCUCGAGCAGGUGCGAAAGCAGGUCAUAGUGAUCCGGUGGUUCUGAAUGGAAGGGCCAUCGCUCAACGGAUAAAAGGUACUCCGGGGAUAACAGGCUGAUACCGCCCAAGAGUUCAUAUCGACGGCGGUGUUUGGCACCUCGAUGUCGGCUCAUCACAUCCUGGGGCUGAAGUAGGUCCCAAGGGUAUGGCUGUUCGCCAUUUAAAGUGGUACGCGAGCUGGGUUUAGAACGUCGUGAGACAGUUCGGUCCCUAUCUGCCGUGGGCGCUGGAGAAUUGAGGGGGGCUGCUCCUAGUACGAGAGGACCGGAGUGGACGCAUCACUGGUGUUCGGGUUGUCAUGCCAAUGGCACUGCCCGGUAGCUAAAUGCGGAAGAGAUAAGUGCUGAAAGCAUCUAAGCACGAAACUUGCCCCGAGAUGAGUUCUCCCUGAGACUAUAAGUCUCCUGAAGGAACGUUGAAGACGACGACGUUGAUAGGUCGGGUGUGUAAGCGCAGCGAUGCGUUGAGCUAACCGAUACUAAUGAACCGUGAGGCUUAACCUU
rnacentral:rRNA from 1 species